GUGAAUCAUCAAAUUUUUGAACGCAAAUUGCACUUUCUGGGAUUCCGGAAAGUAUGUCUGUUUGAGGGUCAGUAAAAUAAAAAUCGGUGUUGUUUCUGCUUUUCGUGGUGACGCGCCGGAAUUGAGUUGUCUUAUCGUCGGUUAAGUGACUUAAAAUUUUGCUUGAUUUUCGAACGAAUUUAAAUUUCUUUCGUACGUUUGCGUUAUCGAUUACUUUAGU
rnacentral:misc_RNA from 1 species